rnacentral:lncRNA from 1 species
GAGGAUUACUUUUGAAAUUAGGGUUAUAAAAUUAUUUUUGGAAUUAAAAGAUUGGGAAAUUAAGCCACUUUUACAUAGUUUAAGAAUUAAAGAUAAGAAUGGUUAUUGCUCCCAAAUGCUCUUUAGGAUGAGCACAUAUCAAUUUCUUCGCCAACCAUUUGCUUAAAAGCUAAACAACUAACAAUGAGGAUGAGCAUAUUCAUAAAGUAUAAAAAGGGCGGCUUAAUGCAAGAGGCUCCCACUAUUGUGGCAUCUGGGAAGAGCUACAUGUAUAUAGCUUGGCACAAAACUUUUGUCAUUGUUUUAGUUAGGAGUUUGUGGAUGCUAAUGGCCGGAAAGAUUAAAUAUUUGAUGUCGCUAGGGUUAGAAGUAUAGCCUCCUCAUAAUCCAUCAUUCCAUCAUUAAGGUAUCCAUAUCCUCCUAGGGGAGGAGUGGAUAAUAUUCUUUGGAAAGCCAAACUUACACCUAUUACACUUACCUAAAUGCACUACACAUGAACCAGACCUAGACCUCUUGCGCUUGCUUGAAUGCAAAAUACCAUGACUUGCAAAUUUCGCUCCUUUGUUGCAAAAUGGACACACAUAAAGAAGCGAGAAGAUUUCCAAGUAUUCUGCAUCCAUAAAGACACUUGAAUUACAUUCUCCAUGACCUAUACGACAAUAUCAUUAUUAGCUAAAAAAUUGGCUGCUUCAUUUUAAUGGGGGAUUUAAAAGACUAGGAUGUCUUAGGUAUUUGAUAACUUAAU